AAAAUAAAGGGUUAAUAGCCAAAAAAUACAUGAACUAUCAUCAAAUUUGCAAAUUGCACACGACCUUCAAAAUUAGCCCCAAAAUACAUCACAUUUUAAUUUAAUUGUAAUUUGCACACGCGUUGACCAUUACCUUAAAUGUAGUUGACGUGGCAGCCGAAAAUUGCACACGUGGACUAAUCGCCGGGCAUGUAAAACGACGUCAUUUUAUCAGGCUUUUUUAAAUAAAAAA
rnacentral:lncRNA from 1 species